AUUCAAUGGCUCAUCUGAAAUUUGCCAACUCCGUUUAGAACAGUACUUCAGUCAUAUCACGGCGUGGCAGCUUCAUAUGAGAGGAAGGCCAAAGGCCAGGCUGUUGAACCAUUUUGUGAAAGCAAGGGUAUGACGCUGACAGGUAAAGGACCAUUCUUGGAUUCGAACCCAUGACCAGAAGAUUCCGACACGUCAGAUACGUCACGUGGUAUAAGCCUUCAACAAGGUCGAAUUGCCAAUACCUUCUACAUACUCAAGGCCUACACUGGAAGAAGUGGCCAAAAGGAAAGAUCAUAGGAAUCUACACAAUCCAACAGGGCGGAUUCGUAAUCUACGUUGGGAGGUCUAUCAACAUACGACAACGUCUGCAGUCACACUGCUACGGAAAAAGGCAACGCAUCGACAGACACAUUCGUGGUACCAAUCCCAGGACACUGACAUACAACUACGUGCAUGACGUCUUCCAGAGGUGCAAUGAACACUGCUACGUAGACCAGAUUGGUCAAUUGCAACGUAAAUGGCCGAAGUACAACAUGCAGAAAGGAAAUACCUGUGACAACCCAAAACAAUGUAA